AAAUUGAAGAGUUUGAUCAUGGCUCAGAUUGAACGCUGGCGGCAGGCCUAACACAUGCAAGUCGAACGGUAACAGGAAGAAGCUUGCUUCUUUGCUGACGAGUGGCGGACGGGUGAGUAAUGUCUGGGAAACUGCCUGAUGGAGGGGGAUAACUACUGGAAACGGUAGCUAAUACCGCAUAACGUCGCAAGACCAAAGAGGGGGACCUUCGGGCCUCUUGCCAUCGGAUGUGCCCAGAUGGGAUUAGCUUGUUGGUGGGGUAACGGCUCACCAAGGCGACGAUCCCUAGCUGGUCUGAGAGGAUGACCAGCCACACUGGAACUGAGA
rnacentral:rRNA from 1 species